rnacentral:rRNA from 1 species
AAUGGGCGCAGCCUGACCGCCAUCUCCGCGUGAGUGAAGAAGGCCUUCGGGUUGUAAAGCUCUUUCGCAAGGGAAGAAAACUUAGGCGCUAAUAUCGCUUGAGGUUGACGGUACCUUGAUAAGAAGCACCGGCUAACUACGUGCCAGCAGCCGCGGUAAUACGUAGGGUGCGAGCGUUAAUCGGAAUUACUGGGCGUAAAGCGUGCGCAGGCGGUUUUGUAAGUCAGAUGUGAGAUCCCCGAGCUCAACUUGGGAACUGCGUUUGAAACUACAAGACUAGAAUAUGUCAGAGGGGGGUAGAAUUCCACGUGUAGCAGUGAAAUGCGUAGAGAUGUGGAGGAAUACCAAUGGCGAAGGCAGCCCCCUGGGAUAAUAUUGACGCUCAUGCACGAAAG